GCAUGGGUUUAGAUGUAUGGCACGUCUGAUCCCAUGGGCCUCUCACAGGGUCCCAGGCGAAAGCAAACUGUAACCCCGAACCAUUGCCUGGCUUUACCCCGUGGGCUUCAGGCACUGAAGCAGGUUGCACAGUG
rnacentral:snoRNA from 1 species